CGCGUAGGCGGGGAUAAUAGUCAGAUGUGAAAUCCUGGGGCUCAACCUCAGAACUGCAUUUGAAACUGUAUCUCUAGAGGGUAGGAGGAGAAAACGGAAUUCCACAAGUAGCGGUGAAAUGCGUAGAUAUGUGGAAGAACACCGGUGGCGAAGGCGGUUUUCUAUCUUAUUCCUGACGCUGAGGCGCGAAAGCAAGGGGAUCAAACA
rnacentral:rRNA from 1 species